rnacentral:lncRNA from 1 species
ACUUAAGUGAGUGUUGUCAUUUUCACCAAAUCCUUUCUCUAAGUGAUGAGCAUCAAUCUCUUCCAUACAAACCAGACGGUAAAAUAAGAAUGAAAUGCUCAUCAUUUCAAUUACAACUUGGUAAUGUAAAACCAAGAAUUAGCAAAAAAUUCUAAGUGCCACUACCAUGUCCUACCUUCUUGCAUGCUUAUUUUUGAGACCUAAAUCAAUCAAAUUCAGAUAGUCCCUCAUUGUCUCACGCACACAGUUCACCAACAAUUCUGUCAUGCUCGUUCAAGUCUCCU